AACGCGAAGAACCUUACCAAGGUUUGACAUGGACCGAAAACUCAUGGAGACAUGGGGUCCUUCGGGGCGGUUCACAGGUGGUGCAUGGCUGUCGUCAGCUCGUGUCGUGAGAUGUUGGGUUAAGUCCCGCAACGAGCGCAACCCUUAUCCUAUGUUGCCAGCGGGUCAUGCCGGGGACUCAUGGGAGACUGCCGGGGUCAACUCGGAGGAAGGUGGGGAUGACGUCAAGUCAUCAUGCCCCUUAUGUCUUGGGCUGCAAACAUGCUACAAUGGCCGGUACAGAGGGCUGCGAACCCGUGAGGGUAAGCGAAUCCCGGAAAGCCGGUCUCAGUUCGGAUCGGGGUCUGCAACUCGGCCCCGUGAAGCCGGAGUCGCUAGUAAUCGCGGAUCAGCAACGCCGCGGUGAAUACGUUCCCGGGCCUUGUA
rnacentral:rRNA from 1 species